UAAUCGCAGAUCAGAAUGCUGCGGUGAAUGCGUUCCCGGGUCUUGUACACACCGCCCGUCACACCACGGAAGUUGGGGGCGCCCGAAGCCACUUAGCUAACCCUUUUGGGAAGCGAGUGUCGAAGGUGAAAUCAAUAACUGGGGUGAAGUCGUAACAAGGUAUC
rnacentral:rRNA from 1 species